rnacentral:rRNA from 1 species
GAUGAACGCUGGCGGCGUGCCUAACACAUGCAAGUCGAACGGACAUUUUUUGGAAAGCUCUUCGGAACUGGAAUCUAAAUGUUAGUGGCGGACGGGUGAGUAACGCGUGAGCAAUCUGCCUUUCAGAGGGGGAUAACAGCCGGAAACGGCUGCUAAUACCGCAUAAUGCAUUGGAUUCGCAUGUUGACCAUAUUAAAAGUGCCAAGGCACUGGUAGAGGAUGGACUUAUGGCGCAUUAGCUGGUUGGUGAGGUAACGGCUCACCAAGGCGACGAUGCGUAGCCGACCUGAGAGGGUGACCGGCCACACUGGGACUGAGACACGGCCCAG